UUUGUAUUCCCUUCGUCCCAAAAUUCUUGUCUUAUAUUUGUUUAAAUACAGAUGUAUCUAACACUAAAAUGUAACUAGAUACAUCCGUAUUUAGACAAAUUUAAGACAAAAUUUUUGGGACAAAGAAGUAUUAG
rfam:Triticum aestivum genome assembly, contig: Triticum_aestivum_CS42_TGACv1_scaffold_559838_7AL